rnacentral:rRNA from 1 species
AAGUACCUUCAGCGGGGAGGAUGCCGUUGCGUAAUAUCGCGCCGAUUGACGUUACCGCAGAAGAAGCACGCCUACUCCGUGCCAGCAGCGCGGUAAUACGGAGGGUGCAAGCGUUAAUCGGAAUUACUGGGCGUAAAGCGCACGCAGGCGGUCUGUUAAGUCAGAUGUGAAAUCCCCGGGCUUAACCUGGGAACUGCAUUUGAAACUGGCAGGCUUGAGUCUCGUAGAGGGGGGUAGAAUUUCCAGGUGUAGCGGUGAAAUGCGUAGAGAUCUGGAGGAAUACCGGUGGCGAAGGCGGCCCCCUGGACGAAGACUGACGCUCAGGUGCGAAAGCGUGGGGAGCAAACAGGAUUAGAUACCCUGGUAGUCCACGCCGUAAACGAUGUCGACUUGGAGGCUGUGCCCUUGAGGCGUGGCUUCCGGAGCUAACGCGUUAAGUCGACCGCCUGGGGAGUACGGCCGCAAGGUUAAAACUCAAAUGAAUUGACGGGGGCCCGCACAAGCGGUGGAGCAUGUGGUUUAAUUCGAUGCAACGCGAAGAACCUUACCUACUCUUGACAUCCAGCGAACUUUCCAGAGAUGGAUUGGUGCCUUCGGGAACGCUGAGACAGGUGCUGCAUGGCUGUCGUCAGCUCGUGU